AUGACUGAAUGGUUCGGCGCUGAUAUAUGACGAUUAGCCCUACACGAGGA
rnacentral:snoRNA from 1 species